CUUUCUAGUAUCUCAAACCUGACAUCUGGAUCUAAUCGUCUUUUUCCUGGAGUUUGUUGCCGUUAAAAAUGCUUGCCAUAAAGAUAUGUCCGUUGUUGCCUCUAAGAAGAAGAAAGAAAGUCUAGGGACAAGGCAUCAGGAGUCUCUUUCCCCAUUCAAUGUGGAAUGCUGACUGGCUUGCUCUGGUACAGCUCCUGCUUCAGAGGCUAGGAAGGUGAAACAGAGGUGUGCUCAAAGACUAUGGGCAGUCCUGGGAACUCAGGAGACACACCCACCCAACACCAACACCAUGACUCAUCCUGCUGGGAAGGAGAGAAGGCAAUGGAGGCUCAAAAGAAUGUACCAGCAUCACACAGCAAGAAAAUGAGUGGCUCGAGCCUGUGCUGCCUGAUGACCAGGCCUUGCCCAUCACACAGCAUACCUCUUACCACUAGAGCUGCACGGCCACCUGUGUGCAGCUGCCACAAAGUCACGCACAACCUCAUUUCCAAGCUUGGAUGCAGUCCCUAAGCGAUGGACAAAAACUGCUGUUUAAAGACCAAGUUCUCUAGGACACCAAAAGCAAGAGCUAUCUGAUCCUAGCCCUAGACCCAGGGCUGUCAGAGUCCUCUAAGGCACUACCAGGACAUGAAUGUGAUUUGUAAUCCAAGUUCCAGGGGCAGGCUUUCCCA